UGACUUUUUUGUUUUUUAAAAUGCGUAUACUAAAUGCAGUUUACUAGUUGUUUUUUUUUUCUUGUAGAAAUAUUUAAAAAUACGACACAAACAUAGCACAAGUUUUAAAAUGCCAACCAUUCAAAACUCUGAUUCCUCAAAAAGACGAUAUAAGCUUUUAAACAUGUAUGAAGAUGUAUGUAUUGUUGCAUUGUCAGUGUGCAGGGAAACCCCUUGAGUGCAUGGGUGGGGAGGUAUGAAUCACAAAGGCAAAUCGGCUCGGGGAUUUUUUUAAAACAGGCUUUAGAUAGAGCUUAGAACUUAUUCAUACAGCGAUAUCGGAAAAUAUAUUCAGAUCCGAUCAUAUUGGAGUGUCUUUAAUAAAAUACUGUAAGAACCGAGGCGCGUCACCUAUAAUGCAGGAGUGUCUUCAAUUUCUAUAUUGAUCUAGAAGACACUAGACCAGAGAACACACAGGAUACAAACAUACCAAAUGAAAGAAAAUACCAAAGACCAUUUGCUGAAGUCUACAAAGAACACAAGAGAUGCACAGGACAAAUGUGACCCCAAAUGUCAUGUGAGACAGCAUACAGGACCAUGAAGAGGGCUGACCAAUAAAAAACACAAGAGAUGCACAGGACAAAUGUGACCCCAAAUGUCAUGUGAGACAGCAUACAGGACCAUGAAGAGGGCUGACCAA